rnacentral:rRNA from 1 species
UACGAACUGUGCAAACGUUAUUCGGAAUCACUGGGCUUACAGGGUGCGUAGGCGGCCAGACAAGUAGGGUGUGAAAGCCCCCCGGCUUAACCGGGGGAAUGGCGCCCCUAAAACUGUAUGGCUGGAGUGAGAUAGGGGUGUGCGGAACUUCCGGUGGAGCGGUGAAAUGUGUUGAUAUCGGAAGGAACGCCGGUGGCGAAAGCGGCACACUGGAUCUCAACUGACGCUGAGGCACGAAAGCCAGGGGAGCGAACGGGG